rnacentral:lncRNA from 1 species
ACAGUAUGUGGGAAUUAUGGGAGCUAUAAUUCAAGAUGAGAUUUGGGUGGGACACAGCCAAACCAUAUCACUAGGUAAGAAGAGGGCUCCAUGCUAAGGAACAGGAUAUGCAAAGACCCUGUGGCAGGAGGAACUCUACCUGCUUUUUUGAAGAAUUCCAUAAGGUAGCCUUCAGUGGAGCUGAGUAGAGAGUGGGGGAGAGUGGGCUAAAACAUGAGGGGAGAAGUAGGCAAAAGCUAAAUCUCAUCAGGACCUUAUAGACAAUUGACAGAUGUUUGUCUUUAUCCAGUAAGGUGUUUGUAUGCUCCUUAAGUGGCAGCGGGGAGUGAGCAGAGCAGUGAAGAUAAACAUGAAAGCUGGUGGUAACAAAUUCUGAUACCUCCUCUAUUCCAAAAGGAAAGGCAGAACUCAGAGGCACCAUCCUCCUGUUGUGUUUGCAAGCUGUUGACACAACCUGGAAAGGUUAAAAGUUUUCAACAGACUUGUCAGAGUUUGUGUUCAAUGGAAACUGACAGAGCCUACCGGCUGAGGGGCUAAUUUUAAUAGAAAUAACCUAGGUGCGUUUGUUAAUUUUCUCCGUUCCCUCAAUGACCUGUCUGCAUAGCGUGAAGGUGCUUUGAUGUGACCAGGAGAACAGAAGGAUAUUUUGUGCAUAGCUGACCGUGAGAGGAAUGCUGGUUUUGCAAUGAGGAAGCACAGGAAGAUGACAGAACAAUGAGCAUAAGACAUGCUGGGUGCAUUUUUUGGACCUUACCACAUCUUGUUUGAGAGAAGUGGGACCAAUGCUGAUGAAACUCUUUCCCAUGGUGUGUUCUAUAUUCAUUGGAUGGGCAUCGCCUACGGCUGGAGCAGGGCUGAGCUCUGUACUGGUGUCUCUUAAAACACACCAGACAGCAACAGCUGAGAUACCUACUACCUGGAUCUGCUUGAUUAGAUCAUACGGUCAUAUUUGAUUACUUAGAAUGGGCUUCUGGAGGAUCUGUUGCUGAUUGCACUGAAACCAGAAGUUGUACUUGGCCAAGGACGAGCUAACCCCAAACAGCAAGAGGUUUGAGUUGGCUCCAAAGCACAAGCCUCACAAAUAUCCCGUGAGUCUCCCACAGGCUUGGGGCUCUCUGUUUAGAAUUAGAACCUAAUCUUCAAAUAUCCCUUUACCCUCUUGCCUCAAAAAGGAAGGCAGUGAAGAGCAGCAGCAAGGCAUCCUGGAUGAGCACUGGAAGGGGAGAAUGCUCAUGUUUUAGUCGUGGGCUUUCCACCAGUUAGCUGUGCAGCUUUGGGCAGAUACUUGAACUUCUCUGGUGCUCUGUUUCUUCAUGUUUAAAUGAGAGGAUUAAACUGUAUGACUUUUGGGUCGAAAGUACGUCUCUGCCAUCAGUAUCAUAACAAUUAUUGAAAUUGCUGCCUAGAAUCUUCCGCUACCACAGUGUAUUUUGAUUGGACUGUUUAUUGCCUUAGCAAACACAAUGCAGUGCUGUGUCUUUGGCAUCUUGCCAGGAAAGAUGAGCCAAUUUUCUCGUGUUGCUUCUGGAUGUCAAAACAUUCUCAUCUGACCAUGCCACAGAAGAAGUUUGUUGAGAGUGUGACUGACUGACAUAAUGACUGAUUGGCUGAUAACGGCAGCUGACAGUGAUUGAUUGAGUGUAAAAUUAUCUGUUCUCAUUACUUCUGAAAUUGAAUUCAGAUUGGUUCUAUUGGAGGGUUUCCAUGGAGACCAUAACCUGCUAUAGCAAGUGUUUGUGGAUGCAAUGUUUUAUUGUGAUCAAUACCUGUUUCCUCUGCUGGUCCAAAGAAAUUAUUAAUGAUUAUAGUCAAGUAGAAAGAGGCAACCAUAUAUAAGAAGAAAAAAACUCUCAUAUUUUGUCUCAUUGCUACAUAAAACAAAUGUGGGCCUUCCCAGACUUGCGCUUUGGCUAACUAGUUCAUAAUACGUUCGAUAACUUGCCAUUCUUCUUUUGCUAUUAAUGCAGAGGGUUUGCUUUGGAAAAAAGAAAAGUAUUUCUAGGACUCUUUCUCUCUUUGAAGAAGAUCAGAAUAAUAGACGAAUGUUCAUACUUGGUUUUUUUUUAAAUGCGAUGUUACAGAAACAACAAACAUUUAAUCAAAUCUUAAACACACCCAUGUUAAUGCAGAGACAGAGAUGGUCCCUCAGGCUUUUUCUGGGUUGUUUCCAUGAAUGAUAAAGUCAUUAAACAAUUUCAUAGGCUUGCCUUAUUGAUCUCUCACAAUGGCAUGCUAUGUCUGCUCUUCAGGAAAGCCUUUCCUGACUGCCCCCAUCAGAGUUAAUUACUACUUACUCUGUGUUCGCAUGGCCUUCUUCCAUCUUCUAUUAUAGCAUUCAUCUCAGGCCACCUUGCCUUACAAUUACUUGUAUCUCUUUUUCCCACUAGAUUAUGACCUCCUUGAGGACAGGGUGAUUUUCUUGUUGCUCUUUGUAUUAUCCUCAGCAUCUAGGUGAAUCUCUGAUACAUCACAAGGGUUCAAUAAAUGCUCAUUGAAUUGAAUUAACUGGAUCUGCAUUCCAAGGUCAUCUCUUCCUAGACUGGUGUUGAAUGGGAUUCCCAUGAAGUGAGGCAGCAGAGUGCGUGCUUGCUGGUUCUGUUGCUUUGUCUCCUGCCCUGUGGCUGCGUCUGUGCCCAAGAGGAUUGUUAGGAUAUAUUGUGCUACAGGAGAUUGAUAUUGUAUAGGAUGUCUGUACAGCUUAUAGACUGGUGCUGACCGUACUGAAAUGAUGGUGGGAGGAUACCUAAUAAGGAUUCUAUUUUAUGCUUAGCUGUAUUCAUUCAUUGGUUUGGUUGGAAUCUGCUUCAGCGUACUUCCUCUACCCAAAUUUGGCUCAUUAGCUGAAAUCACUUUGGGAUGAAUCCACUGUUAAUAGUGGCUAACAUUUUUCAUGCACUUACGACAUGUCUGGCACAGUACUAAGUACUUUACAUAUUUUUCAAUUCUUACACAUUGCUCCCAUUAUCCCAUUUUGAAGAUAAGGAGACUGAAGCACAGAGUGUUUAUUUCCUAAGGUCACACAGCUAGGAAGUAGAGGAGCUAGGAUUUGAAUUCCUAUAGUCUAGCUUCCUACCCCAUUCUUAAGCUAUCUACCCUGUUGCCGCCUGACAAAAGUGUGUUUCAAAAUUUAAUUCCUGAACUGACUGCAUCAAAAUCCCCUGUAGUGUUUGUUAAAAGUGAAGAUACCCCAAGACCUACUGAUUCAGGUUGUUUUCACCGAGGCCAGCAAAUCUGCACCAACAUGUUUUAUUCUGUUCUGUACCUCAAGCUUUGAUGCUGCUUUGUUUUCUUGUUUUGGGAGAAGGGCAGGGGUGGGGGUGGAGGCAAGCGAGUCCAAUACUACAACUUUAGAAAUCUCUGCUCUAGGGUGAACACUCUCUUUGAGACUUCUAAAUUAAAGUCAAGUCUUUUGGAUUUUUGUUUCUUUGUACUGCCUAACUUUAGAAAGACCUGGAAGCGGUAACAUGAAAACAUUUUUAGAGAGAAUUACCAGGCAUUUUUGGUAGAAUGAGUGUUUAAUGGAACAGUCCAGAGAACUCAUCAAAGAUGUUUAUUAAAACGCGCAGACCUGCUCCAAUUAAGGGCCCAGUCAGUGGUGUUAACAGUGAAGGGACUGUUCCAGAGGCGUGCUGCACGGGACGCCCACCCCAAAUACAAAUGGUUUGCCAGUAGCUCACAAAUGAACCCCAUUGCCUUGCACUUAAGCUUCCUGAAGCACAUACAUAUCCUGCUUUGUGCUUUCCGCCCUAUAGUAAACGCAAACCAAUGGAGAUGUGAAGCAAUCUAAUAGCAACAAGGCAAACCUCUACUUCCUCUAAAGAGGAUUGCAUCCUCUUGCUAUCUUUGCCGAUGCUCUCCUACAGACCCAUCCCUGUCAUGUCUUUCCUGUCUUUCUAGUAGAAUUCUGGCUGCUCCCGUAGGACCUCCUUGCGGGAAUUUUCCCUGGUUGCUGCCUCCAAGGAGAGGCUCCCCACCAGAAAGUUUUAAGAGGCUUAUGCUUCUGGGGUUAAUGCGGUCCUUUCUGUCACCUUGUUUUCUGUUCCUAGUUAUCUUUCGGUAACUUUUUUCCUAAACUACUCUGAAAGGCAUAGACUGUCUCUUGAAAGCUCAUCUGUUCUUAACCCCUUUCCCUCAUUCCACUGACUGCAGCAUCUUCCACAUACCAUUCCCUCUUAGCAUUUAUGUCCAUGUCAUGCUUUUGUUGGUUUAUUUGUGUAUUUUCUGCUUCCCACCAUUAGAUCAUUUGUAGAAUUAAUGAAUGCCUAUGGGUUAAUAGAUUUUUCGCUGUAUCCUCUUUUCUCUGUAUCUCUCUGCCCAGUUGCUUAGAAAUGCUUCUGUUUGUGUAUUUGUAUCCACCUUCUUUGGGGAGAGUUAUGACCCUGGUCCUUAUGCCAUCAGUGGUAUUGCAAUUUUGUAUGUAGCAUGACCAUUUUUAAAAAUGACAUUUCAUAGUGAGUGAUUCAGACACCUAUCAUUCAGCUUACCUGCCGGGGCCCUCCAAAAUGAGCAGAAGGCCUCUGUCUCAUUCUAGAAGCUUGAAGGUCUCCACGUGGUUUGCCCAGGGGCCCACAACCUCCCUGCAGUCCAGGAGUGCUCCCAUUAACCCCAGCUGUGUGAUUCAGACCAGAUUCUUAGGACUUUUUAAGUGAAAUGGGACAGAAAAUUGCUUGAUGUAUUUUGCCACAUGAAGUACAUUUUGCUGCCGCUUAGUUCUUUAUUGUCGUUAGAUUAAAAACUCUCCUAACGUUGUGUGGGUAAGUAAAAAUCUUUUUAUUUUUAUCUGGUAUGUUUUGAAAAAAAGGAAAAAAGAAACUAGACAUUGUCAAAAUAUUUGCUUAAUCUUGCAGAUUUGGGAAGUUGUAUAGCCACUCGCUCUGACAGACCAGAACAAUGGUCAUUAAAUGAGAAGCAGAUGUAAUAAAGUAUGCAGUAAAAGCCUUCUAUUAUGGGCUGGAAGGGGAAAAAAAUGAGUUGUUAACAGAACACAGUAAGCAUUAUGGAAUAAAUCAGAACAAAACCAUUCCCAAUUACUGUACAAAGAUAAUUAAAGUCUACAAUGCUAAUUAAGGUCUGUUUAUAUCUAUUUCUGUUUGUGUACAAACAUAUGCGCAUAGUUAAAUAUUUUCCAUUGUUUUUUAUGUGAUGCUAACUUCAUAGUUGAAUUUUUCUGAAUUUAACUUUUGUUUUUAUGUUACCAGGAAGUACAAUCUCCAGAAAACUGAAACUCCAGCUUUUCCUCCUUGAUCGUAGCUUAUUUUUCUUGGCUAACUUCAGAAAAUUCUUCAAGCCAGGAGGCUUUCUAAGCUUACUCCUGAUGCAGUUAAAACUCAAAGGUUUCUGGAAGCCAAUGAAAAUCCUCACCUCUGACUGAAAUGGAAUUUCAAGGGAAAGAAAAUACAACGUAUUUUAUGAGGUCAGGUCUCCCAUAAGGUGUUAAAGGCAUUGUUCAGAGGUGCCACCUAGCAACUUCUCCCAGAACAAAAGAUUAGCCAUAGGUACUUCUUGUGUCUGGUUUUUGAGUUUAAAAUAGGAACAGGCAAAGGAUGCAUUUGGCAGCAUCCUUCAUCUAUUCCUGUUUAAACUUCUAUCAAUAAAAGUUUAGUUCUAUUAAUAAACAUGUCUCUUGACUUUGUUGUGAAAUAGAAUUGGUGAAGGCACAAAGUGGCUUAUUUUACUACUUAUGAGGCAGGCGUAUUAUAUAUGACAUAGACCAACUGGAAUUAUGGAUGGUAUUUCAUAAAAUAGUGUCAAAGAUUGCAGGCCAGGGAGACAGAAAGAAGUAUACUUGAUUUUCUUGAGAGUCACUUUGCACUUAAAUACCCAAAUACCGAAAGUUUAAACACAUUUUCAUGAUUCCUUUGUAUAAAAAGUGAACAGAAUGGCUACCGUUGUAAUUUUGCUGCUUCUAGCAAUUCACCAGCAAAAUACAUCCCAAAAUAGCAGAUAUACAAUGCAGCAUAUGCUUUGGUGAAUCUAAUAAUUUCGUGAACUCGUUCGCUGUUGGGCUGGUAAUCUACAUAGCUUUAACGGUGAACUUUAUAAAAUUCGGAGCCUCAUGCAUCAGAAGGUAAAAAACAAAAGUGGACAGUUUUAACAACGAUGGAUGAGUUGCUAGGGAAUAAAAUUAAAUGGUUGAUAAUAAUUGUGGUAGCUCACGAAGACUGAUGUUAUUUACAAAAGCUCCAUUUUGCAUGUAAUCAGAUGUCUAUUCCCAUGAGCUGGGUCAUAAUUCAUAUUCCACUUUAAUGUUCAUGGAAAAUGUGCUUCUCUCUGUGUACGUAUUAUUUUUAGGAUGUUAUGUUUCCUUGGUGCAUACACAAUGAGCCUGAAAUCCUUUAGGAAUGUGUUUAAUUUGAAAGUUUUAUCCUCUGGGCCUGGUUAAUUCAAAUACAUGGCUAGGAACAUUAUUGUAGGCCCUGAAAGAAUGUAGGCAUGGCAAAUUAUGUGCAUAAAGGCAACUCCAACCCAUGUUGCCAACGCUCAUUUGGUAAAAGGUAGUGAGGAGGAUUAUUUUUUCCUUCCAAACUUUUUUCUUCAUCCACUCAUUUAAUUUUUCUGCACUAAUUCUUUACGUUAAUAAGCUUGAUUUACACUGGACCAGAUUUCUUCUACUUUUAAACUCAGAACCGUGUCUGGUGGCUCUUUUGUAUUAAAAUCAUCAGCCCAGGGAGCUUUUACGAACUUAUGUCCUCAGUCCACAAGGUGUCCUGUGUUCACCCUUAUAUUCUCUUCUAUCCUUAGUCACAAAGACUGUCUGAGUCGCAUUUUCAUCUCUAGAAACUGGAAGAAGUUCUAAGAGUGUGAGGUAAUGACUCAAGGACAACAGCUCCCAGAAAAUAACAGGGUUUGCCCUGCUGCUUUGGAGGAGGUUCUCCUGAAUCAUGUCACUGAAGCACAGCUAGGGCCCGGGACCUGGGACCACAGCCCUUGAAGGGAAUGAGCGGCUGUCUGGGGGCUGAAAGUUCUCUCAGGAGAGGCGUUUUCACAAGGCUUUGUGAUACCGAGCCUCAGGCGUGGACAGAGACGUGUUUUAGGAUUUGAGAAGCCUGUGGAGAAAUUAAGUCAUGUCCCAGUGUACAGUGCUAUGCCAUAAGAAUGGCUAGAACUUUCAGGGGCAUCCUGGAGCUUGACCCUGGCUCAUCAUUUUAUACAUGAAGGGGCUUUGGGUCACGGAGGCAUGGGUUUGCGUCCUGUCUGUUUGAUUCAUUAGAUAUGUGAUCUGGGCCUAAAACUUCGGAGAUCUUAAACACCGAAAACCUUGGGGCACUUUUGCCUUGCUCCCAACCAUGAAAUACAAAAACCAAAGCAAAACAAACAAAAAGUAAGCCAGAAGAUAUAAAAUUGCUUAUAGGUCUGUUGUCUAACAUCAAGUGCGGAAAGGGGUCUAACAAAUUUCCAGCUGGGUGCGGUGGCUCACACCUUUAAUCCCAGCACUUUGGGAGGCUGAGGCAGGCAGAUUGCUUGAGCUCAA